GUUGAGAUUUGGACACUUUAAGAGUUUGAAAGAUUGUUGAGACAGCCAGAUAGAGGUGGAUAGUAAGAAGUUAGAAAUAAAAGCUUUGAAAUAUAGGAAAGAGGGUUGAACUAGAAAACAGGUUGGUAAGUUAGCAGCCUAUCAAUGAUAUCACUGUGAGAGAAAAGAAGAAAACAAAGGGUAGAAUCUUGGAGAACAUCUUCACUAGAACUUUGCUACUUGAAGUGUGGUCAGUGGCCUAGCAGUACUGGCAUGACCAGGGGGUUUGUUGGAAAGGUACAAUCUCAGUCCCCCUCAUCCCCAACUCGUGCUAAAUCAGCAUCCUUAACAAGAACCCCAAGUGAUCUGUAUCACAUUACAGUUUGAGAAACUGUGACCUAGCUGGAUUAUGCAGAUGACUACCAGCCCCUGGGGGUGACAGAGCCACAAGAAAGAAGGUGCCUGGAAGAAGGAGAGCUGCCCACUGACCAGGAACACCCACUGCCAAUUAUCAUCUAUAGAUUCACAAGAAUCAAGACUAAGCAGCUAAGCAGCCUGGAUUGAAGCAUUACUAGCAUCGCCAGGCAGCGCUUCUGUUGCCAUAGCAACUACGUACUGGCCAAAUGGCAGGUAACAUGAGGACCAACUGCUAUGACUGCUCUUUUCACACCAGAAUUGACGGCUGAACUACUGUGCACUGAUUAACACAUUUCAAGAGAAAAUAAGGUUAAUAUUUCUGAUCUACCUAAAGAAUAGACUGACUUUCAGAACUCCUUUUCUGGAAUCCAGGGAAAAGAUCUGUUUGGUAAUGUUAAUCUUGGCAUUAAGACAGUAGUGAGAGCAGAGCCCACUUGAGACUGACACUAAGAAGAACCAACCUUGUGGAAGAAGGCUGCACGGAAGCUCCCAUAGCUGAUGGAACCCCACGAAUUGUAGGAGGCUCAUCAUUCCCUCAAACCAAUCCAGACUGGCUGCUACACAGGUAAUUUCAGAAGUACUGAUAUAAAGGAAGUAAAAGGAAACUCUAUCAUGUUCUAGCCCUGGGAAUGGCAGAAAGAAAGAAAGAGAUGAAGAAGAAGAAAGAAAAAGAGAAGAAAAAACAGAAAGAGACAUCAUAUAGACUCCUUGGCGUCAAGUGAUGUGGAUCCUGAGAACCAAUGACCGUUUCCCCACGAUGACUGACCCCAAAAGUGAAGAAGAGGACAGGCCACUGGGCUAGCAAGAUAGAUGGGGACCUAGUAGCUUCAAUGGGGAUUCAUAAUGCCAGAGGAGGUGAGAUGAAGCCAAAGCACCUCCAUGCUCUAAACUGGAAGUGAGACCAGACUACAAGUUUAUGCCAACUCGGGGCUUCAUCAUUGGGACCCAGCAAAGAAAAGCAGACAAGAGAGAGCACAUUCCAGCCAGUCACACACAAGGACCAACUGAAAUUCAGGUGAUCCUUUUCUCUUCAACUCCACAUGAUGCAAUAAAAGCUGUAUACCUGACCAUCGCAUACACUGGACUGAAUAUUCUUAUUCAAGAGAGCUGAGAGUUACUUACAGGAAAUGGUUAAAUUACCAGAGUAAGGUUUGAACAGAUUGGACAUUUACUUUGUUCCUAGACUUCCAGCAAUUAUCGUGAUGUGGAUUGGGCAGGGUGAGAGGGGUGGUGGUGUCAUAAAGAACACAGGUCUGCUGUAGACUAAAUAAAUUUUCUCUGCUCACCUGCAUUGUAUUACAAGUGAA